AGUUCUCAACCACAUGAUUUUUUCUUGUGGCCUUGGAUUGAUGGGGGUGUUGCCAGCUUUUUGAUUUAGUUAGGCUCUCCUUAAAUGUAUAAGUGGUAUAUAGAAAAAGCUACUUGUUGGGUGUUAUAAAUUGAUAAUCACACCUUUUGGCAAUUCUACUAUGCUGCUUCUAACACAUUCGUAAUGAUGA
rnacentral:misc_RNA from 1 species